rnacentral:rRNA from 1 species
CACGUAGGCGGGUAUUUAAGUCAGGGGUGAAAUCCCGGAGCUCAACUCCGGAACUGCCUUUGAUACUGGGUACCUAGAGUAUGGAAGAGGUAAGUGGAAUUCCGAGUGUAGAGGUGAAAUUCGUAGAUAUUCGGAGGAACACCAGUGGCGAAGGCGGCUUACUGGUCCAUUACUGACGCUGAGGUGCGAAAGCGUGGGGAGCAAACAG